rnacentral:rRNA from 1 species
CCUACGGGUGGCAGCAGUGAGGAAUAUUGGUCAAUGGACGAGAGUCUGAACCAGCCACGUCGCGUGAAGGAUGACUGCCCUAUGUGUUGUAAACUUCUUUUGUAAAGGAAUAAAACGCGGCACGUGUGCCUUUUUGCAUGUACUUUAUGACUAAGGAACGGCUAACUACGUGCAAGCAGCCGCCGUAAUACGGAGGAUCCGAGCGUUAUCCGGAUUUAUUGGGUUUAAAGGGAGCGUAGAUGGGUUGUUAAGUCAGUUGUGAAGGUUUGCGGCUCAACCGUCAAAUUGCAAUUGAUACUGGCAGUCUUGAGUACAGGUGAGGUAGGCGGAAUUCGUGGUGUAGCGGUGAAAUGCUUAGAUAUCACGAAGAACCCCGAUGGCGAAGGCAGCUUACUAAACUGUUACUGACAGUGAUGCUCGAAAGUGUGGGUAUCAAACAGGAUUAGAUACCCUUGUAGUC